UCGAGAAUCUUCCACAAUGGGCGCAAGCCUGAUGGAGCGACGCCGCGUGCGGGAUGAAGGCCUUCGGGUUGUAAACCGCUGUCAGAGAGGCGGAAAUGCAUUGGGGUCCUCCCCAGUGUUUGACCUAAUCUCAGAGGAAGCGCAGGCUAAGUUCGUGCCAGCAGCCGCGGUAAGACGAACUGCGCGAACGUUAUUCGGAAUUACUGGGCUUAAAGGGUGCGUAGGCGGCUUGGAAGGUGGGGUGUGAAAUCCCUCGGCUCAACCGAGGAAUUGCGCUCCAAACCAUCAAGCUUGAGUAAGGCAGAGGUGAGCGGAACUCAUGGUGGAGCGGUGAAAUGCGUUGAUAUCAUGAGGAACACCGGUGGCGAAGGCGGCUCACUGGGCCUUAACUGACGCUGAGGCACGAAAGCUAGGGUAGCGAACGGGAUUAGAUACCCCCGUAGUCC
rnacentral:rRNA from 1 species